rnacentral:rRNA from 1 species
AUGCCUCAGUAACGGCGAGUGAAGCGGCAACAGCUCAAAUUUGAAAGCUUCCUACCAAGGCGCGUUGGAAUUUGUAGAAGAUGCUUUGGGUCUCGGUCCAGUCUAAGUUCCCUUGGAACAGGACGUCAUAGAGGGUGAGAAUCCCGUAUGUGAUUGGGUACCGGGGCCCGUGUAAAGCUCUUUCGACGAGUCGAGUUGUUUGGGAAUGCAGCUCAAAAUGGGUGGUAAAUUUCAUCUAAAGCUAAAUAUUGGCCAGAGACCGAUAGCGCACAAGUAGAGUGAUCGAAAGAUGAAAAGCACUUUGGAAAGAGAGUUAAACAGUACGUGAAAUUGUUGAAAGGGAAGCGCUUGCAAUCAGACUUGCGGGCGGUCGAUCAUCCGAGCUUCUGCCCGGUGCACUCGAUCGCUCUCAGGCCAGCAUCGGUUUCGGUGGUGGGAUAAAGACCGUGGGAAUGUGGCUCCUCGGAGUGUUAUAGCCUACGGUGCAAUGCCGCCUACCGGGACCGAGGACCGCGCUUCGGCUAGGAUGCUGGCGUAAUGGUUGUAAGCGACCCGUCUUGAAACACGGACCAAGGAGUCUAACAUCUAUGCGAGUGUUUGGGUGUCAAACCCAUACGCGUAAUGAAAGUGAACGGAGGUAAGAGCCCAUUAGGGUGCAUUAUCGACCGAUCCUGAUGUCUUCGGAUGGAUUUGAGUAAGAGCAUAGCUGUUGGGACCCGAAAGAUGGUGAACUAUGCGUGAAUAGGGUGAAGCCAGAGGAAACUCUGGUGGAGGCUCGCAGCGGUUCUGACGUGCAAAUCGAUCGUCAAAUUUGCGUAUAGGGGCGAAAGACUAAUCGAACCAUUGGGAUGGCUACUAGGUGGUUAAGAUACGUGGGUUAUAGUUCCGCUGGCCCGCCAGCGGGCGACACUCUCAAAGUGCGGGGACGUCCCUGGCAGUUCACAGCUACCGCAGCCGCGCCGAAAGGGCGGCGAGCACCGGCCCGUAAGGGGGCCCGGGGAUGGUAACAACGCUGGUGAUAGGGAUGAUCCGCAGCCAAGUCCUACCGGCGCGAGCCCACGAACGCAGUUCACAGACUAGAUGUGAGUGGGCCCCUCGGGGCUUAAGUUAUAGUCGACCCCCCGCGAGAGCGGGUGAUGCA